GCUGAAGUGAAAAUGCAUAAGUUGAGAUUAUGAAGAUGUAAGUCAAAUAUUAUUUCAAGAAUUACUAUUUACCGAACAUACAAUACUCAACGAACUAUACUUAUAUGAUGUAACUCCUUGAUACGAUAUGCGUCUAUUAAACUGCUCCGAAAUCAAUUAUAUACUUCCGAAGCCAUACUUUUCUUUUUAGUGGUAAUAAGAAUAAGAAAUGCUUCAUAACACAUUUUUUUUAUAUUUAUGACUUCUUUUCAAUCAUUUAAUCAUUUCAAAAUCAUGUAACAUAUUAACUAAAGAUUAAGUAUGUUUCCAAAUAUAUGUAUGUUGGGGUAUAAAAAUAGCACAAAUACAUGAAUGACGAAUUUACAUACUCAAGUAAAGGUGAUAAAAAGAUAUAUGUUUGUUGUGUGAAACUGGAUAUUGUUUAAAUUAAAUGUUCGAUGGUAGUAUUCAAAUAAUUAAACAAAAAUAAAAAUACACCAUAAAGUUGUUGAUAAAAUGCCUACUUUUACGUCAUUUGAUCUCUCAUUGAGAGUUAUAUAUCAUUGACAAUCAAACAACAUCUUCUUAUUGUCAUAGAGUUAACAAAAUCCUACCCAAUGAUAUUUUUCCAGAACAUUCCAUUACAAAACAUUAAAAUACGCAAUCCAGAACAGUUUUAUUAGAUUUUGACUGAUUUAUUUAACCCUCCAUAUUAAUAUAAAAUAACGAUGUAUCUAAUCAAUUAGAUAUGUGAUUUCAUAACUGUUAUUUUUCAGGGCAGCUGAAGAUCUACAUGUUGUCGAAAACCGCUCAGUGAUAAAGUUGGUCACUGUGACAUUGCCUUGAUGUUUUUUUUUAAUUUGUUACAAAUUUCAUAUUAGAGAAAGUAAGGAAGCGAACAGAUAUAGUAAACCUAGUUCACAUAACAUCUGAAGAUGUUUUUGCGUAUAGUAAAAAAAUGUUUACUUUGUAACUGGAAGAAAGAGUUUGAUCGUAAUAUCCAGAGAAGUGUGAGGGUCAAGUUGAAAAAGUUCCCUUUUAGGAAGGGCCAUAUAGAGAUAGUAUAUAGUUUGGAACUUACAAGUAUUUAUAUGCUUAGGUAGUUAUUUUUAAUGUAUAAUCUAUUGAAAGUGUAUAUAGAUUUUUAAAUUAUUUGAAAAAAUGUCAUUCCAAUGAUUGAUAAUGUAGUAAUUAUAAUAAUUAAGGAAUGACUGUAAUAUUUGUUCUGUCUAUGAAGGAAUAACAUCAAAAAUCUGGUGCACACUGAAUAAAGUGUGCACCACAUUUUAAUGUCAUUUCGAAUAGACAGAAAAAAAUUCUAUCAUUUCUUAUAAAUGAAUUCUAAAUUCCAAUUUAAACCGUAGUAAAUAUGAAAAUACGUCGAUGACGUCACGGUCACAUGACAAAAUUAUGUCUAUGAGCUGAUAAACAAAACAACGUCAGCCAAUCAGAAGACGCGUUAUAUCCAAAAUAUUUUUUUACGUAAUACUAGUAAUAACUGUUAUGACAGGUUUUGUCAAUGUAUUCGUCUGUUAGUUUUCAUUUUAUUAUCACUCAGAAUGAACGUUCAAUUUCUAUAUAUCGUUACCUUCAAAUUUAGACAAAUAUACCUUCAAAAUUCACGUAUAAUUUCGAUAACAGUAAGAACUGACAUAAUGAGCUUUAAUCUUAGAGGAAGACUACCUUUGUGAUUUGCUUUAUCAAUCGUGUUUCUUGUGUGUUUUCUUCGGUUAUUAAUAGUUAUGAAAUAAUAAGAUCACAUAUAUAUAUAUAUUGAACUCGGAGGAAAAUUCAAAAUGGAAAGUCCCUACAAUUUAGUUUUGAAUAACAGUGACAAAAUCAAAAGAUCCUUUACGACGGAACAAUAUUUUAAAUAAGUUUACUUUAAGUUCUCAUAACCUGUUUAUCUUCUCGUUGGCUAUAUACGGGGGAAAAAAUAAAACUAUAAAAGGUUACUUUUUUUCUUUUAAAUCAUUUGUGUUUUUUUUUCUUUCAAUUCAUUAGAACGUUCUCUUGCUAAUUUAUAAUAAUUAAAAUAACGUCCUUUCGGAAUUAGACAAACAUUGUUUUUAGUGUUUCCAGAGGUGACUUUUUGCAUACCUGUCUUAGACCGAGUACAUUUAAAAUUUAUAAUUCGAGACAAUGUAUAGUUUUCUUUACAUACUAGUACUGCACAUCCUAUAACUGCUCCAAAUGAAAUAUUUAGGGUAAAACCCAUCAUUUUGUUAAAUCAAAGCGGACGACGUAAAAUUUCCGCGUCCCCUUUAUUUGUUAUUGACGUGAAAAAUAAAAAUCAACGGAAACGCAUUGUCAACGCCAUUAACAAGGCAAAUGGAUAUAUAGUCAAUGCAAUUUGACUGCACAAAUAGCAAAGUUGCAAUAAAUAGGGACAUAUAUUCAGUCUUCAAAAAACAUUAGAAUAGCACCCUUUUUACUCAGGUGCAGUACUGUUCAAAAAUGAAAUAGGCGUUAAACGUGUCGAAAUGCUCCUCCCCUUUUUUAAUGUGUAAAAAAGGCACCUGAAGUCAGAACCCUUCUCCCUUUUAAUGUUUGAACACAGACACCCGACGUCUUUCUGCGAUUUUGCUGGUAUCUCCUAGUAAUUUUAAAAGUAAAUACGUUCACCGGUGAUAAAUUUUGACAUCGGAUUAAUUUUCACAGAAAUGAUAUCUAUAACUAUUUAGUAUCUAAGUUAUGUACAAUUGUGGUUCAAAUAUUGGAUAACGCCAUUGUUAUACUGUAUCUAACAAGUUCUUAACAGUAUUUUAUUUUCAUUUCAUUGAUAUCGUAUACGUUAUCUAUAGAGUGCCUAUAUGCCAUUUUGGUUUUCAUUGUUGUGUAAUAAUUGCGUGUUUUAUA
rnacentral:lncRNA from 1 species